AGAGUUUGAUCCUGGCUCAGGACGAACGCUGGCGGCGUGCCUAAUACAUGCAAGUCGAGCGGACCUUUCGGGGUCAGCGGCGGACGGGUGAGUAACACGUGGGCAAUCUACCCGAUACUCUGGGAUAACGCUUGGAAACGAGUGCUAAUACCGGAUGGUCUUCUUGGCCGCAUGGCCGAGAAGGAAAAGACGCGUUCGCGUCGGUGUCGGAUGAGCCCGCGGCGCAUUAGCUAGUUGGUGAGGUAACGGCCCACCAAGGCGACGAUGCGUAGCCGACCUGAGAGGGUGACCGGCCACACUGGGACUGAGACACGGCCCAGACUCCUACGGGAGGCAGCAGUAGGGAAUCUUCCACAAUGGGCGAAAGCCUGAUGGAGCAACGCCGCGUGAGUGAUGAAGGCCUUCGGGUUGUAAAACUCUGUCAUUCGGGACGAACCGGAGUCUGAGGAAAUGCAGACUCUCUGACGGUACCGGAGGAGGAAGCCCCGGCUAACUACGUGCCAGCAGCCGCGGUAAUACGUAGGGGGCAAGCGUUGUCCGGAUUCACUGGGCGUAAAGCGCGCGCAGGCGGUGAUGUAAGUCUGAGGUGAAAACCCGAAGCUCAACUUCGGGACUGCCUUGGAUACUGCGUCACUUGAGGAUAGGAGAGGCAAGGGGAAUUCCCACGUGUAGCGGUGAAAUGCGUAGAGAUGUGGAGGAACACCUGUGGCGAAGGCGCCUUGCUGGCCUAUUUCUGACGCUGAGGCGCGAAAGCGUGGGGAGCAAACAGGAUUAGAUACCCUGGUAGUCCACGCUGUAAACGAUGAGUGCUAGGUGUAGGUGGGCUCAUACCCAUCUGUGCCGAAGCUAACGCAUUAAGCACUCCGCCUGGGGAGUACGGUCGCAAGACUGAAACUCAAAGGAAUUGACGGGGGCCCGCACAAGCAGUGGAGCAUGUGGUUUAAUUCGAAGCAACGCGAAGAACCUUACCAGGAUUUGACAUCCCAUAGACCAGUCUAGAGAUAGACUUUCCCUUCGGGGCUGUGGUGACAGGUGGUGCAUGGUUGUCGUCAGCUCGUGUCGUGAGAUGUUGGGUUAAGUCCCGCAACGAGCGCAACCCUUACUUUGUGUUGCCAGCAUUCAGUUGGGCACUCACAAGGGACUGCCGCCGAUAAGGCGGAGGAAGGUGGGGAUGACGUCAAAUCAUCAUGCCCCUUAUGUCCUGGGCUACACACGUGCUACAAUGGGCGGUACAACGGGAUGCGAAGCCGCGAGGUGGAGCCAAACCCUGAAAACCGUUCGUAGUUCGGAUUGUAGGCUGCAACUCGCCUACAUGAAGCCGGAAUUGCUAGUAAUCGCGGAUCAGCAUGCCGCGGUGAAUCCGUUCCCGGGCCUUGUACACACCGCCCGU
rnacentral:rRNA from 1 species